GCGGCAAGCAGCUUUAUAUAUUUUUAAAUAAAAAUAAAGGAAAUGAUUAAAGAAAUUUUAACAUUUAAUAGAGACAACAACCCGACAAAAGAGCAGAAAACAGCACAAGGCGACCAUUUGGUCUUCAAAGGAAUGACAAAUUCCUGCACAGAAAGCGGGAUUCAGAUAGCCCUUAAAAAGUAUGUUUGUUAGGUCUGCGAAAUGGACACAUCACUAAACUACAAAAAAAUACAAUUCAACCAAAUAUUAAAAACAACGUGGUCGAACUAUUAAAACUGAGUUUUAUUGUUCGUAUUACUUUGUGUUUCUUUAAUAUACACCGACUAGAGGUAAAGGGGAGGGUAGAGAUUUCACAAAACAUGUUUCUUCAAACUGCAUUUUUGCACCGGUUCUAAGUUCGGGGCCUCUGACCAGUGUUAGACCUGUAUGUUGGGUUGUUUUAUAUUUUAGUUCAUUUAUAUAUGUUGGAGUUUAGUAUUACGUCUAUUUUCAGUACACAUUUUUUAAGGGUCCAGCUGAGGUCCACCUUUGGGUGCCUGAUUUUCUCGCUGUAUUAAAGACCCAUUGGGGGCCUUCGGCUGUUAUCUGCCUUUUGGUCAGGUUGUUGUCCUUGACAUGUUGCCCAUUUCUAUUCUCAACUUUAUUCAAAACUAAAAAUGCUAGACGUUCCUGGCUUUGAAGAGGCGCAAAAAAAAACAUGCAUGUUUUAUGAAACCUAAACUCUCCCCUAUAUCUUUGGACAGUGUGGAAUUAUACAAU
rnacentral:lncRNA from 1 species